GGGCUAGUAUGAAUGGUUACAUGAGGGUUUAACUGUCUCCUAAGGCCAAUCAUUGAACUUGAUGACGCAGUACAAACGCUGAAAUAAGCCCACAAGACGAGAAGACCCUGUGGAACUUUAAGUUCCCUGCAAGCAGGCCAAGACGCACCAGCCCCCUCCCCUAGCAGGYACUUUCAGUUGGGGCAACUACGGAGUAAAAAAGAACCUCCACGAGCCGCAGCUAACACCUGCCCUCCUAGGCCAACCCGCCAGCCCCCUCCCCCCGCACAGACCCAGCAGAGCUGACUACCGAACCAAGCUACCCCAGGGAUAACAGCGCCAUCCCCUUCAAGAGUCCAUAUCGCCAAGGGGGUUUACGACCUCGAUGUUGGAUCAGGACCCCCCGGUGGUGUAGCCGCUACCAAAGGUUCGUUUGUUCAACG
rnacentral:rRNA from 1 species